rnacentral:tRNA from 1 species
UGCGGGAUAGAGAAGUUGGUUAUCUCAUCAGGCUCAUUCCCUGAAGACCGCUGGUUCAAAUCCAGCUCCCGCAA